rnacentral:rRNA from 1 species
GCAUUCCCCUAGUAGCGGCGAGCGAAGCGGGAAGAGCUCAAAUUUAUAAUCUGGCACCUUCGGUGUCCGAGUAGUAUCUCUAGAAGUGUUUUCCGUGUUGGACCGCACACAAGUCUGUUGGAAUACAGCGGCAUAGUGGUGAGACCCCCGUAUAUGGUGCGGACGCCCAACGCUUUGUGAUACACUUUCGAAGAGUCGAGUUGUUUGGGAAUGCAGCUCAAAUUGGGUGGUAAAUUCCAUCUAAAGCUAAAUAUUGGCGAGAGACCGAUAGCGAACAAGUACCGUGAGGGAAAGAUGAAAAGCACUUUGGAAAGAGAGUUAACAGUACGUGAAAUUGUUGGAAGGGAAACGCUUGAAGUCAGACUUGCUUGCCGAGCAAUCGGUUUGCAGGCCAGCAUCAGUUUUCCGGGGUGGAUAAUGGUAGAGAGAAGGUAGCAGUUUCGGCUGUGUUAUAGCUCUUUGCUGGAUACACCUUGGGGGACUGAGGAACGCAGUGUGCCUUACGGCGGAUUUCUCGAGAUCUUCACACUUAGGAUGCUGGUGGAAUGGCUUUAAACGACCCG